AUCCAGAAGCCACGUGCCCGGGUCUAACCACGCCCUCCCCCCCAAACACCCAGGUGCACCCCUCCCGGCCCUCCGCCUCCUCUCCCACAACGCCCGGCCUGUCCCAAGUGAACAGAAGACAGGGUUUUGGAGUCAGAUUCGCUGGGUUCCAGCUCAGAACUCUCUGCUUUUUUAGCUGUGUGGUCUGCUGUGUUCCGGUCUGCCUAAUGAAGAGACCCUCUCUCACGCUGUCACAGUCAGGUCUCAUCCGAUCUGUGCCUGGCGGGACCCCCAACUGCUGAUUCUGGCUGAACCUGCCAGAAGACCUCGGCCAUGAAAUGAGAGCCACAGUGCCUGGCCCAGUUUCCAUGGGGAAGGUGACAUCAUGAGGCCUAAUGGAAUUACAGCUCACUCCAUCAGCUAACCCUCAACCCUGGAAUCCACCCUCUCUGGACCUUCCUGUCCUCCCCUCUGUGAUCCCAGGUAGGUGUCAAUGGAACCCGAUGCCCGUACUUCUGGCUGACUUCACUCUACCCCAUCCUCCAGCUUCUGAGAUACUAGAGGAUUAAAGCUGGACCCACAGAGGGUGAGGACCACCUCUACCAUCACCCAGGGAGGCUCCAAGUGCAACAUGAGUGGGUCCAAAGCAGAGCUCUUAAAGAAGCCGAGUCAUUGAAAUACAGUGCAAGAGUCAAAUUGCCCAGUUUCCAGUGUAAAGAUGCUAAGAGAGCCACAGGUUCCUCGUGUUAAAAAUGGGAAGCUUGCUGGUACCCCUCACACUGCAUGCGUGGAUGAUAAAUGACGUAAAGUGUUUAGCAAGGCUUUGACAUAUACUAAGCAUUCAAUCAGUGGUUGUUGUCGUUGUUCAGUUGCUAAGUCAUGUCUUACUCUGUGACCCCAUGAGCUGCAGUGCGCCAGGCUUCCUGUCCUUCACCAUCUCCUGGAGUUUGCUCAAAUUCAUGUCCAUUGAGUUGGUGAUGCCAUCCAACCAUCACAUUCUCUGUCACCCCCUUCUCCUCCUGCUCUCAAUCUUUCCCAGCAUCCGAAGUAUUGGAGCUUCAGCUUCAGCAUCAGUUCUUCCAGUGAAUAUUCAGAGUUGAUUUCCUUUAGGAUCAGUCAGUGGUAGCAAUGUGUUUUAUUUAUUUAUUUGGCUAUGGCUUUCAGCAUGUAGGAUCCUAGUUCCCCGACCAGGGGUUGAACCCACACUCCUGCUUUGAAAGCUGGACAGCUUGGGAAUUCCCCAAUGGUAUUAAUGUUAAUAUUUUGUAUUAACACUAACAACUUCAAUGUCCUGUGCUUUUUUUUUCUUUUCUUCUUUUAAAUUUUUAUUGAAAUACGGUUGAUUUGCAAUGUUGUGUUAGUUUCAGGUGUCAGUGUCCUAUUUUUAACGUUCCAAGAAAUUUUUAAUAGUCUGUUCCAACUGCCAAUGCCAUUGCACAUAGCCCAGCACAAAAGGAGAAUCUCUUUCAUUGUUUAGGAUGAAUGCCUAUUUACUCAGCAAGCUUAAAGCCUUGAGAAACAUGGUAUUCAACUGUUCAAUAAAAUUCUGUUUAAAAAAGAUUGUGAGAGAUGGGUGGACCUAGGACUAUGAACAGCUAAGUAGUCUUGUGGAAGAGGUGAGAGCACAGGCAUAAGCCCUCCGGGGAAGAAGGAAUCACGGUAAGGGAGAGACAGAGAAACCCAAGAGAGGCAGGGGACUUCUCUGGGGGUCCAGUGAUUAAGAAUCUGCCUUCCAAUGCAGGGGACAUGGGUUUGACCCCUGGUCGGGGAACUAAGAUCCCAUAGGCCACGGGACAACUAAGCCCUUGUACUGCAGUUACUGAGCCCUCACACCUCAACUAGAGAGCUUGUGUGCUGCAACUAAGACCCCACGCAACCAAAACUACAUAAAUAAUUUU